rnacentral:rRNA from 1 species
AGAGUUUGAUCCUGGCUCAGAUUGAACGCUGGCGGCAUGCCUUACACAUGCAAGUCGAACGGCAGCACGGACUUCGGUCUAGUGGCGAGUGGCGAACGGGUGAGUAAUAUAUCGGAACAUACCUUGUAGUGGGGGAUAACUAUCCGAAAGGAUAGCUAAUACCGCAUACGCUCUAAGGAGGAAAGCGGGGGAUCUUCGGACCUCGUGCUAUAAGAGUGGCCGAUAUCUGAUUAGCUAGUUGGUGAGGUAAAGGCUCACCAAGGCGACGAUCAGUAGCUGGUCUGAGAGGACGACCAGCCACACUGGAACUGAGACACGGUCCAGACUCCUACGGGAGGCAGCAGUGGGGAAUUUUGGACAAUGGGGGCAACCC